rnacentral:misc_RNA from 1 species
GAUGAAGACGUAGUGAAAUGCGAUAAGUAAUGUGAAUUGCAGAAUUCAGUGAAUCAUCGAAUCUUUGAACGCACAUUGCGCCCGCCAGCAUUCUGGCGGGCAUGCCUGUUCGAGCGUCAUUUCAACCCUCGAGCCCCCCCGGGGGCCUCGGUGUUGGGGGACGGCACACCAGCCGCCCCCGAAAUGCAGUGGCGACCCCGCCGCAGCCUCCCCAGCGUAGUAGCACACACCUCGCACCGGAGCGCGGAGGCGGUCACGCCGUAAAACGCCCAACUUUCUUAGAGUUGACCUCGGAUCAGGUAGGAAUACCCGCUGAACUUAAGCAUAUCAAUAAGCGGAGGA